AAAAGACUUUCUUCCUUCUCUCAGUUCUCUGUGCCGACUGUGCGACUUUCUUCUCUGUUCGAAGCCUAGCAAAAAAAUUCACUUUACCAAUCUACACCCUCACUCCGUUCGUCGCCGACGCCGUUGCUCGCCGCAUCUGUGAGACUCCAUCGCCAUCGCCAUCGCCAUCGCCUUAACAAGUCCCAAGUCCCAAGUCCCAAAUCGAAGCUGCUCUCUGCCUCUCCGGCCUCCGCCAGUCCGCCGCGCUGUACGUCUCCUGUCGGCUGUGUCCUGCCGUGCUGGUUCAUCGCUGCCGAGUGUCGAAGACAAAGCACCAAGAUCUCACUAGUUCAUCGCUGGUUCAUCACUGCUCAUCUCUGGCUCACUUAGCCUGGAAAGAGCCGUUGCAAUUUGCUGUAAAAGGCUCCAGCCUCUGGGAUUGCAUUUUAAUGGUGGUAUUGAGGUCAUCUUUGCUGGGUCAGUUCAAAUCUGGUCAGAGAUUAGACCUUCUAUUGCACAGUGCAAUUGCAGCCCUUCUCAGGAAUCAAUCCAACAUUUGUAUCAAGACAAGAAUACAGAAUCUGCAGCAUUCGGCCAUGUGAAGAAUUCAAGAAAGUGGAGAUGGAAUAACAAGAAGAGGAAUUUUGCGACGAACUGCAACGCCAGGGCAUUCUGUCAUAUCCAACUCUUUUCCCUGUGCACCAUCAGGAAAUUGCCAAUCAAACUUGCUUACCAAAUUUGCCAACACAAGUUCAUUGCUGGCAACAGCAAAAGCGAUUCCAGGACAACCCCUCCUACCAGCACCAAAUGGGAUUAACUGGAAAUCAUGCCCUUUGAAAUCUAUAGACGAAUCCAUAAAUCUCUCUGGCAUAAAGUUCACAGGAACCAGCAACGGAAUUGGAGGAUGUAAGCGAAGAGUUUCCUUGAUCACUGCUUUCAAAUAAUGCAUCUCGGCCAAGUCAUCCUCGGAUAUCUGUUCUUUGCCACCAACAACCGCUCUUAUUUCAGUUUGCAAUUUCUUUAGGAUAAUGGGGUGUCUUAAGAUCUCUGCCAUUGCCCAUUCUGCAACUGUAGCCGUGGUAUCAGUUCCAGCAGAGAAUACAUCCUACAGUCAAAAAGAUAUACACUUAAAAUCAAUGAUUUGUUGAUUGUCCGUGAGAAUGAUCAGAGAUGACGCUUAAUGAAGCUUAAUGAUUUUAUAUUCAGAAAAAAUGAUUUUAUAGAAGCUUAAUGAUUUUAUACUCAGAAAA